rnacentral:rRNA from 1 species
GGUGCCCGAAAGGGAACCGCAACACAGGUGCUGCAUGGCUGUCGUCAGCUCGUGUCGUGAGAUGUUGGGUUAAGUCCCGCAACGAGCGCAACCCUUGCCAUUAGUUGCUACAUUCAGUUGGGCACUCUAGUGGGACUGCCGGUGACAAACCGGAGGAAGGUGGGGAUGACGUCAAGUCCCCAUGGCCCUUAUGGGUAGGGCUUCACACGUAAUACAAUGGCCGGUACAGAGGGCUGCCAACCCGCGAGGGGGAGCAAAUCCCAGAAAGCCGGUCGUAGUCCGGAUUGUUCUCUGCAACUCGAGAGCAUGAAGCCGGAAUCGCUAGUAAUCGCGGAUCAGCAUGUCGCGGUGAAUACGUUCCCGGGUCUUGUACACACCGCCCGUCACACCAUGGGAGUGGGUUUCACCAGAAGUAUUUAGCCUAA